rnacentral:rRNA from 1 species
AGUGAACGCUGGCGGUAGGCCUAACACAUGCAAGUCGAACGGCAGCACAGUAAGAGCUUGCUCUUACGGGUGGCGAGUGGCGGACGGGUGAGGAAUACAUCGGAAUCUACUUUUUCGUGGGGGAUAACGUAGGGAAACUUACGCUAAUACCGCAUACGACCUACGGGUGAAAGCAGGGGAUCCUCGGACCUUGCGCGAUUGAAUGAGCCGAUGUCGGAUUAGCUAGUUGGCGGGGUAAAGGCCCACCAAGGCGACGAUCCGUAGCUGGUCUGAGAGGAUGAUCAGCCACACUGGAACUGAGACACGCUCCAAACUCCUACGGGAGGCAGCAGUGGGGAAUAUUGGACAAUGGGCGCAAGCCUGAUCCAGCCAUACCGCGUGGGUGAAGAAGGCCUUCGGGUUGUAAAGCCCUUUUGUUGGGAAAGAAAAGCAGCAGGUUAAUACCCCGCUGUUCUGACGGUACCCAAAGAAUAAGCACCGGCUAACUUCGUG